rnacentral:miRNA from 1 species
CACCCUUAUCCAAUGAGGUGAGGUUAUCUCGGGAUUUUACUCUCUCUUUUCAUUUUAAGUCCCGAGAUGACUUCACCUCAUUGGGUGAGGG